GACGAACGCUGGCGGCGUGCCUAAUACAUGCAAGUAGAACGCUGAAGAGAGGAGCUUGCUCUUCUUGGAUGAGUUGCGAACGGGUGAGUAACGCGUAGGUAACCUGCCUUGUAGCGGGGGAUAACUAUUGGAAACGAUAGCUAAUACCGCAUAACAAUGGAUGACACAUGUCAUUUAUUUGAAAGGGGCAAUUGCUCCACUACAAGAUGGACCUGCGUUGUAUUAGCUAGUAGGUGAGGCAACGGCUCACCUAGGCGACGAUACAUAGCCGACCUGAGAGGGUGAUCGGCCACACUGGGACUGAGACACGGCCCAGACUCCUACGGGAGGCAGCAGUAGGGAAUCUUCGGCAAUGGGGGCAACCCUGACCGAGCAACGCCGCGUGAGUGAAGAAGGUUUUCGGAUCGUAAAGCUCUGUUGUAAGUCAAGAACGAGUGUGAGAGUGGAAAGUUCACACUGUGACGGUAGCUUACCAGAAAGGGACGGCUAACUACGUGCCAGCAGCCGCGGUAAUACGUAGGUCCCGAGCGUUGUCCGGAUUUAUUGGGCGUAAAGCGAGCGCAGGCGGUUUGAUAAGUCUGAAGUUAAAGGCUGUGGCUCAACCAUAGUUCGCUUUGGAAACUGUCAAACUUGAGUGCAGAAGGGGAGAGUGGAAUUCCAUGUGUAGCGGUGAAAUGCGUAGAUAUAUGGAGGAACACCGGUGGCGAAAGCGGCUCUCUGGUCUGUAACUGACGCUGAGGCUCGAAAGCGUGGGGAGCGAACAGGAUUAGAUACCCUGGUAGUCCACGCCGUAAACGAUGAGUGCUAGGUGUUGGAUCCUUUCCGGGAUUCAGUGCCGCAGCUAACGCAUUAAGCACUCCGCCUGGGGAGUACGACCGCAAGGUUGAAACUCAAAGGAAUUGACGGGGGCCCGCACAAGCGGUGGAGCAUGUGGUUUAAUUCGAAGCAACGCGAAGAACCUUACCAGGUCUUGACAUCCCGAUGCUAUUUCUAGAGAUAGAAAGUUACUUCGGUACAUCGGUGACAGGUGGUGCAUGGUUGUCGUCAGCUCGUGUCGUGAGAUGUUGGGUUAAGUCCCGCAACGAGCGCAACCCCUAUUGUUAGUUGCCAUCAUUCAGUUGGGCACUCUAGCGAGACUGCCGGUAAUAAACCGGAGGAAGGUGGGGAUGACGUCAAAUCAUCAUGCCCCUUAUGACCUGGGCUACACACGUGCUACAAUGGUUGGUACAACGAGUUGCGAGUCGGUGACGGCAAGCUAAUCUCUUAAAGCCAAUCUCAGUUCGGAUUGUAGGCUGCAACUCGCCUACAUGAAGUCGGAAUCGCUAGUAAUCGCGGAUCAGCACGCCGCGGUGAAUACGUUCCCGGGCCU
rnacentral:rRNA from 1 species